CAUACAUUUGUGUCGUGUUAAGCUCCUAAAUUCAUGGUAAUUUGUUACAGCAGUGAUAGGAAACUACUACAGCUGGACUUCCAGAAGCCUUUAAAAAGCGCAUGGGCUGUGGGGUAGCAGGCCAUGUAAACUCUCUCGUUAGCAUCCGCGUUCGACUCUCCUGUCUCUCUCUUGCCUUUUUCAUAUUCACUGGAAAAACUAAAGUCCUGCUAAAAUCCCUGUUCUCCUGUCUUUCACUCCUUCCUUAGCACAGACUGUGGGAGAAAAACUCACAGCCCUGUGACGGUUAAAUCUCAGAAGGCAUCUGAGGGCUGCCCUGUGGCCACACUACAUUUGCCUAGAGCAGCAUUCUCCCAGUCUCUCGGGUGGGCAGUUUGCUUUUGUCCUCUCUCCAGUUACCUCCAAUACCUCCUCCUCCUCGGGCUUCACGUUCAACCAUGAACUUGCUUGCUUUUCACCGGCAAAGCCGAAGCACUGGAAGUGAAUUUCCACCCGCUCCCACACCCCAUCUCCUCCCCAUCUGCUUCUGUGCUCCGGUACCCUCCCUGUGCUCGGAAUCCUUUCCCUCUUGCUGACUCCGUGAUCUGCUCCGGCCCUUGUACUAUCCUCCUUCGUCUGCAACUUUUUCCUUAAUCGUGAAUUCUCUCUGGCAUGCAGUAGAUUUUCACCAUCUUAAAAAAAAGUCUUAAACUCCACUUCUUUCCUUGGCUGUAGCCCCAAUUUUUGUUGACCUUUAAUGUGAAACCUAGCAAAGGAGUUGGCUAUACUCGCUGCCCCAAUUCUUCCCAUUCCCUCUUGAACCUUUCCAAUCAAACCUUUCUCCCCACUGUACCACCCCACAGGAGUCCCUGAUAAGUGCCAGGUUUUCCAAAUUCAAUGGUUCUCUCUCCAUCCUUAUCCUAUUUAUCUAUCAGUAGCAUUUAACAUAAUCCAUCACUCGUUGCUUCUUGGAUUCUCUUCAGUCCUUUCAAGACGUUAGUUCCUGGUUUUCCUUCUACCUCAGUGACCACCUUCGACUCCUUUGCUUGGUCCUCUGUAUUUCCCCAAUCUCUGAAUCUCCAUAUGUUUGAAUCCUCCCCUGAAUUAAAACUCUGCAUGAGAGUCUCAAUUGUAUCUCAAAUUCAACAUGUUCAAAACAGAUCUAUUCUAACGUGUUCCUCUCCUCAUCUCCCCCAUUCACUCGGGAAGAUUUGACUCUUCCACGCCAUGUCCUGUUUCUUAACAAAUUCUGAAAGCUCUAACUUCAAAAUAUACACACAAGCUGCCCAAACUCUCUCUCAAAAGCUUUUUAACUCUUCACUGCUGAUUUCCUGGUGCCCAGAAUAGAGCCUGGCACAUAGUAGAUACUAAAAAAGGUCUAUUGGGGGUGCCUGGGUGGCUCAGUCAAUUGAGCAGCUGACUUUAGCUCUGGUCAUGAUCUCAUAGCUCGUGGGUUCAAGCCCCACAUCAGGCUUAGAAGUGCAGAGAAGGGUUACCUAAUCCAGUCUGGUGGGAGCCACUGGAGGAGGCCCUUCCAGUGGUUGGGGAGGGGGUGGGUCUUGGAGACCCAGGCAGAGAGGAAUCAUGGUUAAGUUGUUCUCCCACAAGGCUGAGUUGACAACAGAAACUGAUAAACAAGUUUACUAAGGUUUAAGGCAACUUGAACAUGCAUAAUAUACCACUAAUCAGAUACAACUGAAUAAAAAGGUGUGCAACCAAAAUUUCUCCAGCUUUCAUUAUUAGACGGCAUUAGAAAAGACACUAAUUGUGUAAUAUUGAAAUCCUUCUGAUGAAUUGUCCCCAGUUUCUGGAACAAGACCUGAAGUCCCUGCUAAGUUUCCUCCCUGCCAGGCUUUUGGGAGCCCUCAGGGAAGGUAUUCAGAGAUAAUUGUGCUCACCUGGGACCUGCUAGCUUUCUGGCAUGCACCUGCCCUCUCAGGAGAUUCUCCAUGGUCUCCUGGGUGUCAGACUCCGUGAGCCUCCCUGCCAGGCACUAUCACUGAGUUCUGAAGAUGUACUUCAAAGUGGGCUUGGGGAUCUACUGGGGCCCCCAGUGAGCUCCAAGUCCCACUUUGGCCAAAGCAGUCUACUUUCAGCUAGUUCGUAAGGGGUCUUUUUCUAGCUUGAUUCUACUAAGGAAGAAUUUGAACUUCUAACAGAUGUUUGAAGACUAUUUCCCCAGAGCCUUCCUCGGGCCAGGACUCUGCUGUGUUCCAGGGAAAAGUGGACAAAGGCUCAUUUUCCUGCUCCAUGUAGAACUUUGUCACCUGGGGAACAAAGCGUUGCUGUUCAGACUCUGAAUAUCACAAAACUUCUUAACACUUCUGCCAUUCUAGCUUCCAGUCCCUUUCUUCAGAGGUGUCAGGCCUGAUCUGUGGGGCAGCCUGGGAGUAAACUCCCUGCCUGUUACUCAGUUACUACUAAUUGAAAUUUAGCACGACCAGAAAAGGAAUCCAUUGAAGAAUAUAAUUUUUCCUAGGAGGCCUGAAACCAGGUUGGGAGGCCCUGGCAGGGACAAAUGCCCAGAACCACACUGAAGAACUGCUCUGGCAGAAACUGCUUUGUUUCCUCUGUCAGGCACAGACACAUUGCUGGCAUGUGACCUUGACCGUCCUUCUCCUUGGAAACUGAUUUACUUGCUGCCAUUCUCACCAGAAUGGACCCCAGAUGGCACCUGUUUCUCUGCAACUCAUGCUUCUGAUUCAAAACCCUGUUCAGGUGUGUGCAAUUGUCAGGGACUACGUCCUAGCCCAGUGUCCUAGCUGCAGAGAAGGUGGGCCGUUCUCCAAACGUAGGAAGCAUGUUCCGUUGCACUGAGAAGCUCAGAAAAAGUGGGCCUCAGCUGAACUCCUAGCCAACAGCCAGCAUCAACUUGCUGGCUCUGUGAGUAAGCCAUUUAAAAAUGUGCUCCCAGAUGAAUGCCUAGAUCCUUCUCAUUACCAGACUUGCUUGAAUCAUUGCUUUUUGUCUAAAAUUUUGCUGUCCUUAAGCAUCGACAAGAACAAAUAGCAGGCUAUACAUGACCCUAAGCUCAGCGUCCAUGUUGCGUGGUUCAUAGAAGGCUUCUCUCUCUCUUUUUUCUUAUCAGAUUGUUUAUUUUCUUUGACAACGAAUGCGAAUCUGACACUUUGCGCUUCCCCUUUUGUUCCUUUUCCUCUGCUGCCCUCUAGGGGCCCCAUUUAGAUCUUUCCUGUGCCUGGCAAAAAAUUUACUGCCUGGUGGGAACUAUUCUAAACGUCUCGUAUACACCUACUCCUUUUAUUCCUGGCAAUUUUGUGAAGUGUGGGUACCACUUCUAGUCUCCUAAGAAAAUAGAACUGCAAGAAUCAAGUAGCUUUUCCAAAGUCCUAUAAUGGCCAAAGCUGGCGUUUGAACCAAGGCAGUCUUGUUCUACAUCUAUCUGCUGAACUAUUGCCCCUUUCCUGACGUGGCAAAGUAGAUCCGUUAGGCAUCCAUGUGAGACUUGUUUAUUUACAUCACUUGUAAAUAUAAAUUUGCAGUGUUGGUUUUUACCUCUUGUCUGAUUAUGGCACUAGCUGCCUUACUGCUUUCUCUAAUUGUUAGUCUUUUCCCAUCUGAUAAUCUAUUCUCUGCACAGUAAACUGAAGGAUCUUAAAACAAAAAAACAAAAAAACAAACUCACACAUCCUUUGUCUCUUUACCCCUUCUCUACACAGGAAAAAUAGAAGAACCAGUCUUAUCAAAGGGGUAGAUUAACCAGCGAAGCAAAUGAAGUUCAAAUAUGUGCACACUCUAAAACCACAAUCUAAUAUGGAGUCUAUUGAUGUGUGGUUAUAACACUUAAUACGCAGUGUUUAUUUCUGAGUAGUUUUGGUGUUUAUCUUCGCCAUCACACUUAUUCUGCAAGGAAAAAAGCACAUGUUCUGUUUUCUGAGACGAAAUGCUACUAGUGCUCUGGCUUAGACAGAGUCACCCAAUAAAUGUGGUACCAGCUUGGCACUGUUACUUAGAAUAGAACAGUGACCUCAGGAAUCUAAAUGCUUUUCAAAACUUGAAUGAGGUGCAGGCAGUGGAACCCUUGAAACACAAUGUGAAACAGAAAGCUCUUACGUAAAACAGAUAAAGCUGCUCAAGUUGAAUAGAGGGCCAUAGAUGUAGGGGGUAUGUGCUUGGCCAUUUGCAAAGACUUUGGAAGCAUGGCCGGGAAACCUCUCGAGCUCAUCUUCAGAAAUUCCUGGAAAGCAUGUGUAGUGAAGAGCUAUUACCAGCAAUGGAGAUGGGGACCAAGAAGUUGCCAGCCCAAGCCCAUAAUCACUAAUUGUACUUGUUUCCAACAUUCUCAGGUCCUUUAUCUCUGGGCAUUCUAGUGUUCUAUGGAACAUGAAAGAAAAAUGAAAGCAAAACAUUGAAAUUCACACAAAGUUACCCUUAUGAUCUCACCUGCGGCACUGUGGCACCUGCCAGACAGGACCUCCAGCUUUACUUUUUCUAUUUUCCGCUCCGUGUUGAGCAUCAAGAGACCUCAGAUUUAAGCUCCCUUGUCUGGUGGGUGGGAAUGGGAGCUACUUAAAUGACCUCACACAAGUGGGUAAUGUUUUUGUCUAACUUCUAGGUCCAGGGCUAUAGCCAGGGGAUGCCAGUGAGGAGGUGGCUUCCCAAGUUUAUGCACAAGGGGGUCUUUUCUGGAAUAAGAGCUAUGUACCUGCUGACCUGUCUGCUGAUAUGUAACAAGUGAAGAGUCAAAAGAGGCAGUAAGAUACUCAGAGUUCUUAGAUGAAAAUCCCGUUUCUCAAGCUCCUGCCUUUCUAGUCCCUGUCGCUGAGAGCAAAAUCACCAUUUUCAACCUCAGUGUGAAUCUAGAUCACUGGGGGAGAGGAUUUUAGGUGAAGAUUCCCUUAUGAUUAACUGGAUUUUCAUCUGCUUGUUUUUGUUGUUUUAAAAGCCUUCCAGGGUGAUUCUGAUACAAGCAGGUUUGGUGCAAGCAACACUGGCCUAUGGGUUUAGCAGGGAAAUUGGAAUUUAUUAGGUAGUACUUACAUUAUUUCCCACAUUAUUCUUUUAAUAUUGGUCAUUUGGAUUCCUCCCAAGUCUUUUUUUAAGUGAACAAAGAUAGGCUUGAGACCUGUGGGGGAAAAACAUAUUUCUGUGAUCACAUUGACCCUGAGGACUGAACUAUUUCUGCAUCCAUCUACUGUGACAUAGUAAUUGUUCUUGUUCUAUCAUGUAAUCUACCCUAGAUGCAUUCACUUGCCAUGCCAUUUCUGCCUCUUCAUUUUCUACCUGGAGAUUUAAAAACUUGUAGUUAUAAAUCUCCUGUCUCCUGAAUAACGUCAUGGCCUAUUCCUUGCUCUGGCUUCCAGCAUUGAAAGAAAAAAGUGAUGAUCUUUGUGACAAUAUAAUUACUCCCACCUCUGACAUCCCCUGAUCCAUGGUGACAUUUGUAAGGAAAUAACCUGGCGGGGGGGAUACACAUGUUCCGGAAUUAAAGGCAUAGUAGGCCUUUAAAGUCUCAGAAAACUUAAUGUUGAAGCAGCUGAAGACAAGGUUUUAUGAGUGUUGUGUCAUGAGGAAUUUUCAAAAAGUCUUAAUGAAACAAUUGUUUUCAGUGUUUCACUACACUUAUGAAUCUGUAGCUCAUCAGUGGAAAAUAUGAUGCUCUGAGAACCAGCUCUGAGGGUGGGCUGGGGUAGAGUGUUGGGUUAUCUCUAAAGACACUUCUACUCCACUCACAAGUGUACUUCCCAGCUAUUACACCUCACUUUUAUAGAGCAUAGGGUUCCCAGACCCCUAGUCUGAUUUAGAGGCGAUACUUCAAAGGUCACUGAGGCUUAGGAAGUUCAAACGGUAGAAUCUAAUUGGGUAGCUUUAUAGAGAGGAGCUCAGAUUUAGUUGUCAACAUUAAUAGGUAGACCCUUUCAUUAAAGUCAGCCAACCAGUAGACCAGAACACAACAUAAUCUAAACUUGAAAAUUCCACUUUGUGCUCAAUCAAGUUCUUUCACCCGGUCAAGUGUGAUAUAGCUUCCCAUUCUUACCUAUUUGCCAGUUGUUAGUCACAUGAAGUCUUGCCUCAAGGCAAGAUUGGUCCGGAAAGUUCUAAACCAUUCAGUUUGGAGUUCAGCUGUCCGAUUUCCAAGCUUAUUUAUGAAUCUAUUGUUGGUCCUGACCCACCCAAUUGGAAGAGGAAGUAGAACUGUUAUCGGUUAUCAGCAUUCAGGACAACAAGCUCACUACAGGGAUAGGAGUUCUAGUUGUAGGGCAGGUACAAAUAAUGGAGACUCCAAGCCGAAGGAAAUUAUGUUGUUGUUUAGAUCCUUGAGUUCUCAAAUAUUCAUUAAUUGGAAAAAUGUUUAGUAUGUUCUACAUGCCAUAGAUUAGAAAUGCAUAGAAACUUUAAAAAUUUAGAACACUGACUUUAUAACAUGGAUUGAAAAAUGUACUUGUGUCCUCUCAUGUAUGAUUUACCUCUGAUGGGGUAAGUCUGUAGAAAGUUAGAAUGGAUCACCCUAGAGUUGGAUAGCUGGAUACCUUCCUAUUUAAGGCAGCCUUUGGCAGUGUCUUUUGGGGUACUAUUUAAGUAGUUGAUUUCUAUUUACUCUGGGAUCUAGCUGUCUCUUUCCUGAGUCUGACUCAGUGGGCCAAUCUUAAUGUACUAAUUUAUAAAAUUAGAAUAACAUCACCUACUUUUGAUGAGUCAUUGUAGAUACUAGAAAUUGUUAGGUAUGAUAAAUAGAAAUAUUAACAGGAUCCCAAAUGUCCUUUGUCUUAGGUUGAGCUCUCUAGAAGCAAAGCCAGAGACCAAUUUAGGCCAAGUGACUUAUUGAGAGAGUGCUCUUCAGGAAAAACCUGUGACCAAGAAAGGCAAAACAAGUAUGAGCAAAUUGCUCAUCAAGGAUGUAGUCACAGGACAGCAUGACCACCAAACUCCUGAACUGGAAAUUCCUAUGGUCAGUGGAAGAAAAAUAUAGCAGCUGAUGCAUGAGGACCCACUGUCUGGCAAGUUCCCUGUGUAUACAGGUGGAUAGAAGCCAAGGAAGAGGUGGGAAAGGAAGCUGAAAGGGUCCAGUAAUUUCCCAAGGACACCAGACAGUAAAUGAUGCCAUGAGGCUUGGGACAUGGAUGGUAUCCGGAGUGACCUUCCUCCCUCUUCCCUAAUAUGUGGUCCAGCCAAGGUAAGAACUCAGAGUCAGGGAAACGUACUGAAGUGAGAACAUGGACUCCAUAUAGUGAAUAAAGCAUGUGGGGUGCAGGGCACAAGUUCUGAUAGGUUUUGUUCUAGUUUGAUGAACUCUCGCUGACCUGAUAAACCUAAGAGGUAAACUUGGGUAGAAUCAAGGCAAUUGGAUGGACAGGGAUGUGUUCUGAGAUGCUUAUUGGAGAGGACAGCACAAAAGGUCUGUGAGUGAGCCAACAGGGUACAGGAAGUGGGAUUUGAAAUCAGGGAGAUUGGAAUACAAUGAAGAAACCAAGAAGAUGAGGCAUGCAGGGCCAUAUUUUUCUCUCUUGAGCACAAUACAUCCUUUGAUUAAAGAUAUAUUCCUCAAAUUGGAAUCUGAAGACCAGAAAACCAUGGAUAUAUUCUUGUGGCUUAGUGAAAAUUAGUUUUCUGUGAAAGAAGUAUGUACAUAACUCAACUUUGGGAAAUGCUGAACAAGGGCUGUUCUCUGCCCCUUGAUAGAUAACUGCAUUGAUUAGACAGCAUCUUCACAGUAAUCCAGACUUCAGAACCACUCGGUAAAUUACUCCUUUCAAUUAUACAGAAUUCAGCUUAUCAAUGAUAGUGUCACUUGCGUCAGAGGAUAAGCAGUGCUUGGCUCAGGUCCAAUGGUGGACCUGAGUGUUCAUGGGGUUUCUUAGGUAUGUGGAUACACAUUUAUUUUAUCUUCUAAAAAAUUUUCAAGUUUAUUUUUGAGAGAUGGAGUGAUUGGGGGGGGGACGGUGGCAGAAAGAGAGGGAGAGAGAAUCCCAUGCAGGUUCCACACUGUCAGCACAGAGCCCCAUGUGGGGCUCAAACUCACGAACUGUGAUACCAUGACCUGAGCUGAAGUGAGACGCCCAACUGACUGAGCCACCCAGGUGCCCCUGAUGGUACACAUUUAUAUGUGGCAAAAGUUAAAUCUAAAAAUAUCCAAACCUGAAUCAAAAUAUGUGAUAAUUAGAUUAUUGUGAAUCUCCUGCUUUAGAGUUAUACUAUCAACACUUUCAAUUCCUUAAUAUUUUAAGGUUGCUUUCAUUUUAUUUUAAAAUUAUAGUAGUUUUUCUCUCUGUGAGCUUCAAAUAUUCUGUUGAAACACCUAAUUGUUAUCUCAAAUCACAUCACCUAUUGCUUCCAUGGUUAAUCUCUACACAUUGGAUAAAAUGAUGAUAAAGACCUAGGGACUAGGAAAACCACCAGAUGGACAAAGACUGGAUCUCUGAAUUAUCGCAUGGGAGGAAGAUGCUUGCUAAUGUGAACACUUGCCCAGGAACUUUUAUAAUAGCAAGAAGCAAACUUCUAUUGUGUGAAGAUUCUACCUUUAAAACCUUCUCAAUCCAGUAACUCAAUUGGAAUAAUUAUUCUGAUGCUGAUACAUUUGAUUUCUGAGCUCAAAUAAUAGAACAUCUUGCUUCUUGUCUUCCCAAACCAACAAUACAGUAAGAAUGACAUAUUCAUAACUAUUGAAUAAAUGCCAAUUGUUCUAAUGAGUUUGGACAUACCUCAUCUCAAUCUCAUAAGAAUCUUAAAUUAUAGGAUUUUCAAAUCCUCAUUUAAAAGAUGCAAAACUGGUAAGAUUAAGGCGCAGAGAAGGGAAAUAUUUUGCCUACGAUCAGACAACUGUCAAGUGGCUAAGUUUGGAAACUAGAUUAUUUUGACUCAAGUUAUAUUUUUCUCCUGUAAAUUUUCAACCAUGUGCCAGUUGCACAUCCAAAUCACAGGUGUGCUUAUGGCAGAGACUGCUUCCUGCUCCCUGAAAUCCACUUCUUCCUACUGGCACAAGAGCCACACUGUAAUUUCCUUCCUCCUUUGAACUUAGGUGUGGCCAUGUGACUGACUUGUCCUCAACAGAAUGAGAGCAAAGGGAAAAUUCAUGCCCCUUUCAGUCUGGUCCAUUUAAAACUUCCCGCGUGUGUUCCUCCAUGCUAGUUCUCCCUCUGUUAGAUGGAAGCAAAAAACAAUGAAACCUUAAGGUGUGGAGGAGCCUGCAAGAUGGAAACGGUCUUGGUUACUGAAUGAGUGUAUGGAGAGGAACCUCCCUAGCAACCUCCCUUUAAACCAUUUUGUGAGCAAGAAAUGAAUUUCUAUGUGUUUAAUCUGCUGACCUUUUGGAAUCUGUUUGUUGCUACAGCCUACCUCACCUCAACAGAUAUAGAGAAAAAUAGUUUCCUGGUCUGUUUUCUGGUCUCCAGACCUCCUGGGUUAGAGUCUUUGUGAUAAAGCUUAAGUAUCUAUAAUUCUUAAAAUUCAUUCUCCUGAGUGAUUCUGAUGUAUCUGGUCUUUGACAGUUAUGUACUUCAUUCCACAACUGACCUUUUUCCCCCCUUACCUUGCUAAAUCCUUUUAGUUGUAUAUCUUGGGGAAAGGUUUUUCCAAUUUCAGUUUUGUCUGAAUUUUAAAUAGGCCAACAAUUUUUACUGAUUCAGAAACAGGUUCACUUAUUUUUUGAUAUUUUCUUUAAAAUUCAGGGGCGCCUGGGUGGCGCAGUCGGUUAAGCGUCCGACUUCAGCCAGGUCACGAUCUCACGCUCCGUGAGUUCGAG